rnacentral:rRNA from 1 species
AACGAACGCUGGCGGCAUGCCUAACACAUGCAAGUCGAACGAGACCUUCGGGUUUAGUGGCGCUCGGGUGCGUAACGCGUGGGAACCUGCCCUUAGGUUCGGAAUAACUCCCCGAAAGGGGUGUUAAUACCGGAUAAUGUCUUAGGACCAAAGAUUUAUCGCCUUUGGAUGGGCCCGCGUUAGAUUAGCUAGUUGGUAGGGUAAUAGCCUACCAAGGCGAUGAUCCAUAGCUGGUCUGGUAGGAUGAGCAGUCGCACUGGGGCUGAGGCACGGCCCAGAAUCGGACGGGGGGGAGGGGUGGAGUGUAUUAUGCGAUGAGCGAAAAUGUAGUCCAGCAGUGCCGGGGAAGUGGUGAAGGGCUUAGGAUUGUAAAGCUCUUUUACCCGAGGUGAUAGUGACAGUACCGGGUGAAUAAGCACCGGCUAACUCCGUG